UUCUAUUCUCUGUUUUUGAAAAUUCUCUGUUUUCUAUUCUCUGUUUUUGAAAACUGAAAUUGAAAACUUGUUUACCUGUACUUAUUUUCAAAAUCCAUUCUCCACUUACUAAAUUAAAUAUUUUUAAUGUUUUGAUGAU